AAAGCAAACACACAUCUGGAAGUUCCUCCAGUUAAUUGGGCAAUUAUUCAUACCACUCUUGCUGGAAGCAGCCUGCUACUGCUGAGCCAAAACCAACAACAACAGACUGUGGCUGUACUCCAUCCCUGCUUGGAGUGGGGAGGCUUCUGUGGCAAGGUGGGGCUGCACAGGGCUGAAACACCCAGACACUAUGAGCUGCAGAACCAACCUGAAAAUCUUUCUUGGAGGCUGUGUGUACACCAGUCUGCCAUGGCAAAAACUAUCCGUGGAUGAAACCAUUUUGCAGGACAGUUGGAAACAGAGAUGCUGAGCCAUGAAGAUGAGUCUCAGGGGGGAUUCCUGCUGACUGAAUCACAGAAUCAUGAGGUUGGAAGAGACCUUCAAGAUGAUCGAGUUCAACCCAACCCUAACACCUCAACAGGGAUGGUGACUCCACCACCUCCUUGGGCAGACCAUUCCAGUACUUUAUUAUUCUUUCCAUAAAAAUCUUUUUCCUAAUAUCCAACCUGUAUUUCCC
rnacentral:lncRNA from 1 species